GAUGAACGCUGGCGGCGUGCCUAAUACAUGCAAGUCGAGCGAACGGACGAGAAGCUUGCUUCUCUGAUGUUAGCGGCGGACGGGUGAGUAACACGUGGAUAACCUACCUAUAAGACUGGGAUAACUUCGGGAAACCGGAGCUAAUACCGGAUAAUAUUUUGAACCGCAUGGUUCAAAAGUGAAAGACGGUCUUGCUGUCACUUAUAGAUGGAUCCGCGCUGCAUUAGCUAGUUGGUAAGGUAACGGCUUACCAAGGCAACGAUGCAUAGCCGACCUGAGAGGGUGAUCGGCCACACUGGAACUGAGACACGGUCCAGACUCCUACGGGAGGCAGCAGUAGGGAAUCUUCCGCAAUGGGCGAAAGCCUGACGGAGCAACGCCGCGUGAGUGGUGAAGGUCUUCGGAUCGUAAAACUCUGUUAUUAGGGAAGAACAUAUGUGUAAGUAACUGUGCACAUCUUGACGGUACCUAAUCAGAAAGCCACGGCUAACUACGUGCCAGCAGCCGCGGUAAUACGUAGGUGGCAAGCGUUAUCCGGAAUUAUUGGGCGUAAAGCGCGCGUAGGCGGUUUUUUAAGUCUGAUGUGAAAGCCCACGGCUCAACUGUGGAGGGUCAUUGGAAACUGGAAAACUUGAGUGCAGAAGAGGAAAGUGGAAUUCCAUGUGUAGCGGUGAAAUGCGCAGAGAUAUGGAGGAUCACCAGUGGCGAAGGCGACUUUCUGGUCUGUAACUGACGCUGAUGUGCGAAAGCGUGGGGAUCAAACAGGAUUAGAUACCCUGGUAGUCCACGCCGUAAACGAUGAGUGCUAAGUGUUAGGGGGUUUCCGCCCCUUAGUGCUGCAGCUAACGCAUUAAGCACUCCGCCUGGGGAGUACGACCGCAAGGUUGAAACUCAAAGGAAUUGACGGGGACCCGCACAAGCGGUGGAGCAUGUGGUUUAAUUCGAAGCAACGCGAAGAACCUUACCAAAUCUUGACAUCCUUUGACAACUCUAGAGAUAGAGCCUUCCCCUUCGGGGGACAAAGUGACAGGUGGUGCAUGGUUGUCGUCAGCUCGUGUCGUGAGAUGUUGGGUUAAGUCCCGCAACGAGCGCAACCCUUAAGCUUAGUUGCCAUCAUUAAGUUGGGCACUCUAAGUUGACUGCCGGUGACAAACCGGAGGAAGGUGGGGAUGACGUCAAAUCAUCAUGCCCCUUAUGAUUUGGGCUACACACGUGCUACAAUGGACAAUACAAAGGGCAGCGAAACCGCGAGGUCAAGCAAAUCCCAUAAAGUUGUUCUCAGUUCGGAUUGUAGUCUGCAACUCGACUACAUGAAGCUGGAAUCGCUAGUAAUCGUAGAUCAGCAUGCUACGGUGAAUACGUUCCCGGGUCU
rnacentral:rRNA from 1 species